rnacentral:rRNA from 1 species
CGGGGUGUGGAAGAUUGCUGACAAUCGGGCAGACCGCCUUAUCCAGCCAUGCCGUGUGUGUGAAGAAGGUCUUCGGAUUGUAAAGCACUUUAAGUUGGGAGGAAGGGCAGUAAGUUAAUACCUUGCUGUUUUGACGUUACCGACAGAAUAAGCACCGGCUAACUUCGUGCCAGCAGCCGCGGUUUAAAA